UACGUAGGGGGCAAGCGUUGUUCGGAAUUACUGGGCGUAAAGGGCGCGUAGGCGGCCUGCUAAGUCGAACGUGAAAUCCCUGGGCUCAACCCAGGAACUGCGUCCGAUACUGGUUGGCUUGAAUCCGGGAGAGGGACGUGGAAUUCCAGGUGUAGCGGUGAAAUGCGUAGAUAUCUGGAGGAACACCGGUGGCGAAGGCGACGUCCUGGACCGGCAUUGACGCUGAGGCGCGAAAGCCAGGGGAGCAAACGGG
rnacentral:rRNA from 1 species